rnacentral:lncRNA from 1 species
GUGGUCCGCUUUACCUGUGUUGUCAACUCAGUUGGAAAAAUGUCACCUGCUGCCGUCUAUACGCGUUGACAGAGUCGGAGCCAAAUCGAUUUGUAAGAACAAGAUAUUUUGAUCCGACAAAUGUCACAGACUUGUCAAACAGAAACACUGCUGUCUACGUCAGAAACUACACAAAUCAAUAUGAUAAGUAACGAGAAGACUCGGGAUGCUGAGCUUGGACUGGUUGAUGAUGCGAAAGUUAUAGGUAAUGCAAAACUUAGAACCUGUAUGCCCAGGAUAUGAGAUAGACCACAUCGUUAAUAGAGAUUCAAUUGAAAUCAGUCAAAAGUUUAUAAAUAGUUCACGUGUAAAUGUAAUUUAAUAUUAAUCAAUUGCAACGUUGCAAACGACAUGAACAUAAACUGUGUCCUGUUGCAGAGGAGGCAGUUUCAAAAGGCACUGGUAGGAGUCAGUCUCAACUUAUUAAAACAAUAUCAGGAUGUGCACACACCCC